rnacentral:rRNA from 1 species
UACGUAGGGUGCAAGCGUUGUCCGGAAUUAUUGGGCGUAAAGAGCUCGUAGGCGGUCUGUCGCGUCUGCUGUGAAAACUCGGGGCUUAACCCCGGGCCUGCAGUGGGUACGGGCAGACUAGAGUGUGGUAGGGGAGACUGGAAUUCCUGGUGUAGCGGUGAAAUGCGCAGAUAUCAGGAGGAACACCGGUGGCGAAGGCGGGUCUCUGGGCCGAUACUGACGCUGAGGAGCGAAAGCGUGGGGAGCGAACAGG